UACGUAGGCAGCAAGCGUUGUUCGGAAUUACUGGGCGUAAAGAGUGCGUAGGCGGUUGGGCAAGUCUGUUGUGAAAUCUCCCGGCUUAACUGGGAGGGUGCGGUGGAAACUGCCCGGCUAGAGUGUGGGAGAGGAAAGUGGAAUUCCUGGUGUAGCGGUGAAAUGCGUAGAUAUCAGGAGGAACACCUGCGGUGUAGACGGCUUUCUGGACCACUACUGACGCUGAGGCACGAAAGCGUGGGGAGCAAACAGG
rnacentral:rRNA from 1 species